rnacentral:piRNA from 1 species
ACAGGAAGAAUUAUGCAGCAGGCU